GAUGAACGCUGGCGGCGUGCCUAAUACAUGCAAGUCGAACGAACAGACGAGGAGCUUGCUCCUCGCACGUUAGCGGCGGACGGGAGAGUAACGCGUGGAUAACCUACCUAUAAUACUGGGAAAACUUCGGAACACCGGCGCUAAUACCGGAUAAUCUCUUGCACCGCAUUGGGCAAUAGUGAAAGUCGGUUUUGCUGUCACUUCUAGAUGCAUCCGCGCCGCAUUAGCUGGUUGGUAAGGUAACGGCCUAUCACGGCGACGAUGCGUAGCCGACGUGAGAGGGGGAUCGCCCACACGGGAGGGGGGACAGGGUCCAGACGCCUACGGGAGGCACCAGAAGCGUACGGGCCGCAGCGGGCGGAAGCAUGACGGAGCAACGCCGAGUGAGUGAUGAAGGUCCUCGGAGCGUGAUAACCGGUUAUUAGGGAAGAACCACUGUGGAAGUAACUAUGCACGGCUUGACGGUACUGAAUCAGAAAGCCACGGCUAACUACGUG
rnacentral:rRNA from 1 species